rnacentral:rRNA from 1 species
GGAAGAUAAUGACGGUAGCCAUAGAAGAAAGCCCCGGCUAACUAUCGUGCCAGCAGCCGCGGUAAUAAGUAGGGGGCGAGCGUUGUCUGGAAUUAUUGGGGGUAAAGGGUUGGUAGGCGGUAAUACAUGUUAGAUGUGAAAUGUUGUGGGUUAACCACAUCAAGCAUCCGAAACUGUAUAAGUUGAGUGGAGGAGAGGUAAGGGGAAUUCUUAGUGUAGCGGUGAAAUGUGUAGAUAUUUGGAAGAAUACCAGUAGGGAAGGGGCAUCAGUGGCCUCUAAUUGACGCUGAGGGGCGAAAGGGUGGGUAGCACAAAGGAGUAGAUACCCUGGUAGUCCACGCACUGAACGCCAAGAGCGAGGGGUGGGGAGUCAAAUCUAGUUGCAGUAAGUUCUCGCAAUAAGCACUCCGCCUGGGGAGUAGGCGCGCAAGCAGGAAAGUCAAAUGAAAUUGACGGGGAUCCGCACAAGCACCGGAGCAUGAGGUUAAUUCGAAGCACCGAGAAGAACCUUACCCGGACUUGCCAUAUUAGUUCCAAAGGUAGAGAUACAUUAUUUCUUUGGAACACUAAUACAGGUGGUGCAUGGUUGUCUGUCAGCUGGUUUUGUGAGAUGUUUGAGUUAGCUCCCGCACCGAGCGCCACCCCUAUCUUUAUUUCCCUGCUUUUCGGAGGGGACCUAUAGCCAGCCGUCUAAUAAGAAAUCGGAGGAAGGAUCGGCCGACGUCAAAUCAUCACCCCUUAUAUCUCCUGGGCUACACACGUCCUACAAUUGUCGUUACAAAGAGCAUCUCCACAGUGAUGUCACAGCCAGAUCUCAAAAAGGUGAUCUCAGUUCUGACCGUUCUCGUGCAAUCUAGAGUACAUGAAGAUGGCGCACGCUCGCUACGUAAUCGCAAAUCAGAAUGUUGCGGUGAACCAGUUCCCGUCUUUUGUCAUCACCGCCCGUCA